UACGAAGGGGGCUAGCGUUGCUCGGAAUCACUGGGCGUAAAGGGCUCGUAGGCGGUCUGUUGCGUCGGGAGUGAAAACUCAGGGCUUAACCCUGAGCCUGCUUCCGAUACGGGCAGACUAGAGGUAUGCAGGGGAGAACGGAAUUCCUGGUGUAGCGGUGAAAUGCGCAGAUAUCAGGAGGAACACCGGUGGCGAAGGCGGUUCUCUGGGCAUUACCUGACGCUGAGGAGCGAAAGUGUGGGGAGCGAACAGG
rnacentral:rRNA from 1 species